rnacentral:rRNA from 1 species
ACUCCUACGGGAGGCAUCAGUGGGGAAUAUUGGACAAUGGGCGCAAGCCUGAUCCAGCAAUGCCGCGUGUGUGAAGAAGGCCUUCGGGUUGUAAAGCACUUUUGUUUGGGAAGAAAUCCGGUUGGUUAAUACCCGAUCGGGAUGACGGUACCAAAAGAAUAAGCACCGGCUAACUUCGUGCCAGCAGCCGCGGUAAUAC